GAGGGGGUAAGGGGGCGCGGCCGGAGGCGGGGCGCAGCGCGGCGCGGGAGGCGGGGCCUGAGGAGGGCGCGGCGCGGCGCGGGAGGCGGGCCCCGGGCUCCGGAGAGCUGCCCCGCGCUGCUGCCCCCGCCUCGGCGCUUGGUUCCCUGCGUGAGUGGCGCGUCCCCGGGCCUGAGCUCCCCGGGGAGGGGCGGCUUGUGCGCCCCCAGGCUUCCGGCGCUGGGAGAUUUGCGGGGCCCUUCUUUAAAAGACCCGGAUGUUGGCAGUGUCGCGGGCACCCCGUGAGUGGGCAAAUCGGAAGGGUUCGCAAUGGACAGCGGCUUUGCCUGCACCUUACCUCGGGCGCCUUUCUUCCGACCCCUUUCCCCCGUAUCGGGGGUGUGGGCUGUGACACGUGUGUGUCUGGUGUGGCGUGGUGUGAGGUGUGAGGCGUGUGUGAUGUGAGGCACGUGAAGUGUGUGUGUGGUGUGAGACGAGUGUGUUUGUGCAGGUUUGUGGUAUGUGAGGUGUGAAGUGUGUGUGAGAUGUGUGGUGUGUGAGGUGUGUCUGGUGUGAGGCACGUGAAGUGUGUGUGGUGUGUGAGACAUGUGGUUGUGUGUAUGGUGUGAGGCGUGUGUGUUUGUGGUGGUUGAGGUGUGGCCAGUGUGAGGUGUGCUUGUGGUGAGGUGUGUGGUUGUGUGUGAGGUGUGUUUGGUGUGUGUUGUGUGCGGUGUGAAAUGUGUCUUGUCUGAAGUGUGUGAGGCGUGUGGUGUGUCAGGUAUGUGGUGUGUGAGGUGUGUGGUGUGUGAGGUGUGUGUAAGGUUUGGUGUGAAAUGUAUCUUGUCUGAGGUGGGUGUGGUGUGAGUGUGAGGCUGUGGUGUGUGUUUGUGGUUUGUGUGUGGCGUGUGAGCUGUGUGCUGUGACGCGUGUGUGCAAUGAUGGAGUGUGUGUGUGUGUGUGUGGUGUGUGAGGCGUGUGCUGUGAGGUGUGUCUGGUUUGUGUGCUGUGGUUUCUGACUGGUGUGUGUGUGUGAUGUCUAGUGUGAGACGUGUGUUCUGUGAUGUCGCGUGUGAUUAUGGAGUGUGUGUGUGUGGUGUGUGAGGUGUGUGCUGUGAGGCGUGUGUGUGAUUAUGGAGUGUGUGUGUGUGUGUGUGGUGUGUGAGGCGUGUGCUGUGAGGUGUGUAUGUGAUUAUGGAGUGUGUGUGUGUUUCCGGCCUGGGUCUGGUCAGCCUCUGGGAUACACGAGUCGGGAAGCCUCCGGCUAAGACUCGCCUGGUUCCUAGGCUGUCAUUCUGACGCCUGGUACCUCGACCACAAGCAGUGCACUUGCCACGGAGGCGGGCUGUGCGGGUGUUUUACUCAGUGCGCGUGCGUGCACACACACACACACACACACACACCACCGCCGCCAUGUGACCCUCUUCAGGAGCUCGUGUUGGGCAGCUCUCUGGCCGUGGCACCCCCUGCACGCUUUGGGCACCUGUCUGGGAGCUCUGACCUCAGGAAGAGCAGGACCUGGGUGCCUGGGUGGGGCGAGUUUCCCCUGCGCACUGACCCUGGCACAGAGUUCGCACCGAGGCCCAGCUUGGCUGGAGAGCUGGCAUCUCCCGAUGAACCUUGAAAGCCCCGAGGUCAGGGCUGGGGCGGCAGGGAUUCCCGACGAUGGGACGGGGGAAGGGCUGGGCCCACCUGGCCUCACGGGAGCAGGAGGGAGCAGUCUCCCUGCAGCUUGUCACAUUCCAGCCUCCUUUCUGGCCCGUGUGCCGUUGUGCUUCCAGUCCUGAGCCAGGACAGACGCUUCUUUGUGGCCCAGAAAUCUUUGAACCUGUAAUUGGAGCUAUCACAGCUGGUCGGCGCUGUGAGUUGGAGUUUAAAAGCAACCGACCUAAAGCGCGUUCUUCUCUUUGAACAGCAGGCUGGGAAGUACCCCGGGACCUGCCUGUUAUUCUGGGGAAGAGCCUGCGUGUGGUGGCAAUGUCUUGCACAAUGGUGGCACUUUCUCCCAGGGAUCUGGGGGCCGCUCAGGUGUGUGCACACGUGCCAUCUGACCUCGGGCUGGAGGAGGGGAUGUGGUGCCGGCAGCUAUGUUUGUUCAAAGCCAGGCUCUGCAGGCUGCCCUGGUCUUUUGGAGAUGUGAGUUCUUUUUCUGCAUUGACGGAGCCUCAAUUGGAGGCAGCCUGCUGGGGUUCAGGAAGCGGCUGUGGACACCUAGGGCACUGCUAAUUUGGGACUGACGCCCACAGUUAGGGGAGCGGCCUUGCAGUGAGCAGUGGGUCUUGUCUUUUUGUACCUUGGAUAAGGGAUGGGAAAGGCCUCUGUGUGUGGAGUUGGUGGGGGAGCGACGGGAAUGCAGCUGUAUCCGUGGGAACAGACACUUGGCCUGGAUGAAGGAAUUCUACAGCUCUUGAGGCGGGCUGAGUGUCCAGGGACAUUGAGGACACCUGAGGACCCUGACCCCCACCUCCCCCAUCCCUGUCCACCAGCUCCAUCCUCCCCGCUGACAGUCAUCACCUUCCUGCUGCCCCCACCCCUCCCCAGGCUGCGUUUUUCUCAGCCACCUUGAGGCCCUAUGGUUUUCCCCGGUUCCAGAGGGCUGGUCCCGGCUGAGUGGUGCAAGCCUCUUCCAAGGGGGUGUCAGUACUGACUGAAGCUUCUCAGGCCGCCUGUUGGGGUGCAGGGGAAGGCUGGGGGGUUCCCAGGAAGGAGGGUGGGGUUCUGAGCGUGUGCGAGCCGCGCUGCCUCUCCGGCUGCUGGGUGGCACCAAAGAUUCUGUGCUUGACCACACUGCAGUCAGGCUCCUGAACCUUCUGGGCCCGUCUGGCACAUACUUGUAAAAUCCAGGCCUAGCAAGGGCCCUGCUUAGCUUAGCACAAAUUUCUGAACCCCCCUCCUUGAUCUCCAAAUCUGGGGCCUGCAUAUCUGGACAGGUUCCUCGUCCUCCAUCCCCUCGAGAAUUUCUCUCCAGCAAGAAUCCUGUUGGGUGGGAUUGGCUAACAUCCCCCUAGCACCUGAUGUCUCUUAGUAGUGUUCCAUUUCCUGACCCCAACCCAUUCCUUGGCUGUAAAUGCCUGCUUGCCUGUCUGUGCUGCACCCAGAGCUGGGUCCAGUCUCUGUCCCCUGCUGCAGUCUUUCUCCAGUGGUCGCUACACCUACUGUGGUCCUGAUGAAGCUGCCUUGCACCGGGUGACCCACAACACUGUCCCUUAGCCCUCUAUCCCUGCCGACUGUAGCCCAGCAAGCAUCCUGCAGCCUCAGGCCUGGGGCCUUGCUGGUCCUCUCUGGAACUUGUCUGGCUCCCGAGGUCCACUGCAGUGUCAGGUUCUCUGUGAGGCCUUCCCUGGCCCCAAACUCUUCGCCCGCCUCCUCUACCCAGGUGUGAGUGGCUUCUCUUUACUCCCAGGUGGGCUGAGUUGGGCAAGUUGCCGUUGCCCUCUCCAGGCCUUGAUUUGCCACCUGUAAAUGGGGUACAAUAGUACCCACUCUGGUGUGUUGGCGGAAGGCACGGAUCAGUUAACAUAGGCAAGACGCUUUGCUAGGGCUGGCCUAUGGAAGUCUGUGUUCUGACUUGUCGUCACACAGCUGCUGGUGUUGUGUAGAGCUGGGUGGAGCCACGAGAACUCCAGACAGGGUGAGUCUUCAACACAAGGGGAGCCUUGUGGAGAUGAUCUGGUUGGCAAGAUGAGAGGCCUGUGUGGCACCGCGAGGCAUCACACGCCAGGGAGGCCGUGAGAGAACCUUCAAGUCCACUCAGGGACGGGAUGAGCCACUAUCCGACUAGACGUGGAAACAACCUCUGAUUAUGGAUAACUUGAUCCCCUGGAUGACAGUCAGCUGCGCAGGAGGAACUUCUACCCAGGCUGGUCCUUUCCCAGUGUUUCCAAGGGAUCAGAGAGAGCUUAGGAGGAGCAGGUUGGCCCCCAAGUGACCAGGACAGCGAUCCCGGGUCUGGCAUCCAUGGCAGCCAGGAGCUCCAGGGCAGGUGUGCCGUUGGCCAUGGUGGGUAGGUACACAGGAGCCUGUGCUCUCCACCUGGACCCGGGCUGUUACGGUCAGUGAGACAAGGACCUGAGGGGCCACGGGAAGAGACACAGGUGAAGUCAGGAACAGGGCUGCGCAGGCAGCUGGUGAUCCCGACCGCCGGGGCGCUGUGCAGCGACGUGUAAAUGAAGCAUCUCCUGUCCAUCUCUAUAUUCACUCAUGCUCUGCCCAGCAAGCCAUCAUUAAAGUGCGCGCGCACACACACACACACACACGAGUACGAGUGCUCCGCUGAAUAAGAAACAGGUUUCCAACAAUCUCACAUAAAACCCAUUUAUUACAAAGUGCUGGAAAUGCUGAUCAAAGCGUAACAAGCACUGUUGUAUGCACAGCCGACCUUGAGAGAAAAUGGAUGUAUGCUCAGAAACACUGAAGAGAAGACGGCCAGUCAGCUCUCUGCUACGUCCUGGGACAGCAGUGGAAGAUGGUCCAAGUCCUUGGGCCCCUGCACCCACGUGGGAAACCUGGAAGAAGCUCCUGGCUCCUGGCUUUGGAUUGGCGCAGCUCUGGCCAUUGUGGCCAUCUGGGGAGUGAACCAGUGGAUGGAAGACCUCUCUCCUCAAUCUCUCUCUCUCUGUAACUCUGUCUUUCAAAUAAAUAAAAUUAAUCUAAAAAAAAAAAAGGACUAGGAAAAAUAUCUGCCUUCCAGGAAAGAGAAAUGAAAGAUUUUGUGGUGACCUCAACAUCAGAUGGAAACCCAGUCUGAGAAUUUGUGAGUACAGAAUUGGACUUAACUUCAUGUGGUGCAAGGCUGAAAUACAAGCUGCCUGGGCAGUUUGGGAUGGAGUGGAAGUCACUGCAGGGUGACAGCCCUGGGCACUGGUGGGAGAAGGCACCAACCACCUGACUCCCAAGCCCCACGUGCAGGAGCCUGGAGCUCCAUCUCGCCUCCCCUGUGGCAGACGGACCCAGAUGCUUCAGCGGUCACCUGCUGCCUGCUUCAACAGGAAGCAGAAUCAGGAGUGCAGCUGGGACUCAAACCCAGGCACUCUGAUAUGAGAUGUGGGUAUCCCGAAUGGUGUCUGCACUGCUAGGCCAAAUGCCUGCCUGUUAUUUGUUUUAUGGCAGGUGAAAAUUGUAUAUAUAUAUAUCAUAUAGAAAAACAUGUUCUUAGUUAUAUAUACAUUGUGGAAUGGUUAAAUAAAGCUAUCUGGGGCCGGUGCUGUGGCGUAGUGGGUAAAGCCACUGCCUGCAUUGCCAGCAUCCCAUAUGGGCACCGAUUCGAGUCCCGGCUGUUGUGGGGAGCAACUCGGACUAGACUGUUACUGGAAUUAAGGCUUAUUCUAUGCAUCUGCUCUCCCACAAUAUGGCGCUGGGAGAGGAGGAAAUAGCUUCUACACAGCUGCCUCCAGUUCAACCAAUAAACAGCAGGACCUGCUCCUGAUUGGAGGAGAGCAGCGUACUCGGCGUGUGGGCAGCAGAGUUGGGAUUGGCGGAAGAGGACUACAAAGGAGGAGAGAGACAACAUGCACCAGGAACAUCUAUCUGAAGGAACACCUGUGCAGCCCCCGAGAGAGCCGGCCGGUGGUGUGCCGCUCCCCCGCGGAAGUGGGGAAAGUGGCAGGGGGAACCGCCCUUCCACGGAGGUGGAAGGGUUGGUAGCCAACCCGGGAAGAACCAGCAGAAACCCGGGAAGGGCCGAGCAGACGAAAGAACAGUGCAGGGUCCUGUGUUGUUCCUCCACGAAGAGGGGGAGCGACAGGCUGCUCCACUUCUGAUCCAGCUGUCUGCUCUGGCCUGGGAAGGUAGUGGAAGAUGGCCCAAGUGCUUGGGCCCUUGUACGUGUGUGGGAGACCCAGAGGAAGAUCCUGGCUCCUGGCUUUGGAUCAG